UCACUACUCACUUCCCUAACUUCAUUGUCUUUUUACUCUUCACUUCUUUGCAUUCUGUGCUGACCUUACUCCUUUUCUCACUUUCUUCUUCAGUUAUUAUUCCCAUCCCUUUCUCUCUCCACUCCUUCUCUCUCCUCAAAACCCCACAUUCUAUAACAAAAGCUCCCAUCUUUCUUUUACCAAAUACAUUUUUCAUCUUUCAACCCUAAAGCUCAGAAGAAAAUAGAGUUUACCCAUUACUUCUGUCUUUUAAUACCUCUUUUUCUCUUAUGCCCUUUAUCUGUUUGUGAAAAUGUUGAGCUAAAAACUCUCAUUGGCAUUAAAACUUCUCUUGACCCUCAUAACACCUUCCUUUCUUCUUGGAAUGAAAAUGGGGAUCCUUGUAAGACAUUUGAGGGUCUUGCUUGUAAUGAGAUUGGCUAAGUGGCUAAUAUUUCAUUGCAAGGUAAAGGACUUGAUGGGAUUUUACCUUCUUCCAUUGGUGAGCUCAAGAACUUAUCUGGGUUGUACCUGCAUUUCAAUAGGUUAAGUGGAGAAAUACCUAAAGAAAUUACUGGUUUAACUCAACAAACUGAUCUGUAUUUAGAUGUUAAUUAUUUUAGUGGCAGCAUUCCUGAAGAAAUUGAAAAUCUCUCUAAUUCGCAAGUUUUCCAGCUUUGUUAUAAUAAGUUAAGUGGGAAUGUCCCUACAAAGAUAGGUUCCCUUAAGAAGCUCGAGGUUCUUGCUCUGCAGUAUAAUCAAUUAACUAGUGCAAUUCCAGCUAGUUUGAGAGAGUUGGACAUGUUAACUAGGUUGGAUUUAAGCUUUAAUAGGUUAUUUGGUCCAAUUCCUGUCAAGUUAGCUGAAGCACCCUUGCUUCGAAUCUUUUAUGUUCGAAACAAUUCUCUUUCUGGCAAUGAACCUGCUGCUUUGCUUAGAUUGAGUGAUGAAUUCCAGUAUCAGAAUAAUCCAGGUUUAUGUGGGGUUGGGUUUGCUUCCUGAGAGUUUGCACUGAUUCUGAUGACCAGAAUCGAAAUAAACCUGAAGCUUUUACAUCGGUUCUGGUGGGUCAGGGAAUACAGUUAUACCCGAAUCAGCAAACCUCCCCAUAAAUUGCAGCCGAACACAAUGCUCUAACAGCUCUAAAUCCUCACAUGCUGGUUUAAUUUCCGGGGUAGUUUUAAUUUUUUUGGUCACAGUCGUUGGUCUUUCGAUGUUCUCAUGGUAUCGACGCAGAAAACAAAAGAUUGCAAGCAAUGUGAAUAAUGCUGAUGGUCGGCUUAGCAUUGAUCAUGUUAUGGAUGUUUAUAGGAAUGUUGCACCCCUCAUUAGUCUUGAAUAUUCAAAUGGGUGGGAUCCUCUAGGAAAAGGUUCCCAAGAUUUAUUUGAGAAUUAUGUUCAAUAUGGAAGAUGUAGAAUCUGCUACUCAGCACUUCUCUGAAGUGAAUUUCCUAGGGCGAAGUAAUUACUCAGCUGUUUACAAAGUACAUUAGGCGAGCAAGGCAAGCAGGAUCUAGGAAGCACUAGCAGCCUCGAAAAGUCGAAAACCCUAAUUUUUCUUUCUAGUUUCUCUUCUCCUCUAACCUCGUCCUCUAGUCCUCCGCCUCUGCGACAUCACCAUCGCCAUAGCCAUCGCCAGCCGUUUACUCCGCUUCAGUGGAGACUCCAGGUAUUCCAUUUCUUUAAUUUUUCUUUAAUUUUUCUUUGUAAUGUGUUGAAGAUUAUAAAGAUAUACCAGUGGCCUACUGGGUAUUAAUUUUCUCCAUUUCUUGUUCUAGAAUCAUCUAACUUGUAAUAUAUUUUGUGGGAUCUCAAGAAACUGACUUGUUUAAAUUUUGCAUGUUGAUCUUAAUAUUCUUGAUCUGAAAAUUUGGGUCUUUUGAAACUAUAAGUGGGUCUUGUUUACUUUGCACUUUUAUUUUUCUUUAUUGGGAUCUAUUUUUUUAAUUUCAUUUUGUUAGCUUAAAAGUCUUCUUUUUCGGGUUUUCUGCUGCAAAAGGAUUAUGAUAUCAGUUCUUAUUUAGAUUGUAUAUGUAUAUAUUUUGUAGUGCUAGUUAUGAUACUUAUGAAUGUUAAUUUUUUUGAUUUAUAUGUAAGUUUUAGCCUUUCUGUUUUGGAAUGUUAUAAGUUUUGUUUUCUUAAGUUGCUAAUUCUUUGUAAUUUUGAAGCAUCAAAUAGGACUAUGUCAGUAUCACUGUAAUUUUGAUCAAAAAUCUUUGUAAUUUUUAAUUAUGUAUUUAGACAAGUGUUUUUACGUUUUAGUAAUUAUUUUGUAUUUGAAUUUCAUGGACUCGAACAAGUAUUUGUAAUACGAUAAUAAGUUGCUUACAAAAAUACAAAAAAACUCGAAAAAGGUUCAAUUUUGACAAAUUAAAAAGGCUUUGUAUAAGACCUAUUAAGGACCCUAGACCCUGUCAGACCCGUAGGGUCCGGGUCCGGGUCUGAAAAUUUUGGACCCUUAGGGUCCGGAUCCGGGUCUGGAUCCAAAAAAAUAGGGUCCGGGUCCGGGUCCGGAUCUGGCCAGACCCGCCCCAUGACCAUCCCUAUUAGUAUUACACUAUCGCAAAAGUUGUUACAGAAGUAUUCCUUGUGGAUUCAGUAUGUGACCAAAUAAUAUGGGUGCACUUGAAAAGUUUUGCCACACAUUUAGAGAUAAAGUUAUAAAACUUCUUACACUCUCAAAAAACCUAGAGAGAAAAGCUUUCAUCAUAAAUGUAUACUCUUUUAUUGUCGAUUCAUCAUCUCUCUGUCCUGGUUUUUUUUACCAAGAUCUGAACCUUGUGAGUUAUAACCGGAGUUCGCCUUGGGCUUAUGCACAAAAUGAGAUGGGUUUCUAACUAAUACAACAAAUAAUGACUAUAGUACAUUACUCAAAUGUCAUUUUAUGACCCUUGUUUAAGCGGUAUUAGGAUUUCACAUGAAUGUAACCCUAUCCUUGUAAAGGACAUCAUCAUUAUCAUCAUCAUUAUCAUUAUUAUACCCGGUAUAUCUUUGUAAAGGACAUAUUCUCUCCAAUUAUUUACAAACUUAGUUCAGUUAAGCUCAUUUAUUUUUAAUUCUAUUCAAUUCAAUUUAGUACUUUACUUUUAUUCUCAUAACUCAUAUUCAUUCAGUUUAAUUUAAUUCAUUUCACAUAAUUGAUUUCUAGUUCUAUUCUCCUAUAGAGCAUAUCUUUAUUGUUCUGAUUGACUAUUGAUAGGGUGUCAUCUGAUAACAAGAAAAAUUUCUCCUCAAAUCAUUAUUUCCAAUAGUGGAGAAUACAAGUUUCCUACCUUUGAGCUCUAGUUUAGACCCAUUACUCAUGAUUAAGCUAAAGAAAUAAACUCUUGGUCCAAAAUACAACUACACCUCCAAAAAAUGCAGACAAUAUUUAUCACAACUGAACAUGUGAAUGGACCCAUAAAUUUUAAAAGGAUACUAUUACUAAUAUAACACCUAGUGUCACAAACAAACAAGGUAAGUUCCAUCAUUGGAAAUUGACACAAAGAAGAAAUUAAAACUCACUAUUUUUACAGAAUUUCUUUUAUUUGUCUUUCAUGUGAACCUUUAUUGUCUUGUUUACCAAGAGCCAAGAGCUAUUGUCCAACUUAUGUAUUCUCCUUUUCAGUUCCCAUUCUGUUCAUUACCACAAUUUUUAUUCUACUGAGACUACUGAAAUAAUCUUUGCUGAUAUUUUUACUUUUUCUCCCCAUAAUAUCCUCCUGUUCUGGUAAAGCGGUUCUCCUAAUGAUGACUAGAGUUGUGCAUUCAGUUGUUUUUGAGUUUGAGUCGGUUGCAAUUCAGUUUGAUUGAGAUUUGGGUUAAUUAUACUUCGAGCCUAAUUUGGAGUCACUUCAGGUCAUAGUCGGGCCAAGAGCCUUAUUUACUUUCCUACUAGUAAGAGAAGGCUGAUUGUCAAUUGUUUCUGUUAAAACAAGUACCAAUAAUUUUAAUGAUGACGUUAACUUUAAACAUAUAAUCGAACAUGCUUUGUCUUGUACUUUAAAGAGGGUCGAUAAAGAUGUGUCGAAUAUGGGUGGUUUAAGGUUUGGAACAGUUGAUGAGAGUUGCUUGAUCAAAGCAACAAAUAAAGAAGCAGAACAGUGAGUGGCUCAACCAACCGCUCGAUCGAGUGAAGUAUUGCUCGACCGGUCGAGCGGUGUUGGCUCGGUCGAGCAAGGUGUGCAGAACAAGUCAGUAGCUUCUCUGGAAGCUCGCUCGACCGAGCGAGGUAGUGGCUCGGGUUGAGCGGAAGUUCAGCAGACUACAUUGGAUCCUGUUUUUGGUCAGAAUGUGAAGUGACUAUGCAAUAAUGUGGUGCAUUACUUCUAUUGUUUAUUGUAAUGUUUAUUGUCAUAGUUAAUUAGAUGUUAAUUGAGUUGUUACAUGUAUGUUUAUGGUGAUUUAUGAGGGACUACUAAGAGUGAUGAAUAUCUUGGCUAUAAAUAGGAUUCAUCACUCAUAGUAACAUUCACCACAAACACACAUAUUGUUGAGAGGGAUAUUGCAUUGUUAGAAACUUGAGAGUGUUCUUACUUUGCUUUAGUAUUUGUGAUCUUGAGAGAUUGUUCUCAAGAUAAGGGUGGUUUAUUAUACUUGUAAUUGUUGAAUUCAUUAUAAUAAACUAUAUUUGAGGGGGAGGUAUUCAAGAUACCUCAUAAACACUUGUGUU